rnacentral:rRNA from 1 species
GGGUCGGAGAUUGGCGUUCUUUGUGGCUGCUGCUGGGCGGCCGCGCGCCCCCUGGGCGGACAGUGAACCUGAGGAGGCUCGCCGCCCUCCCCUGCGCACCGCCGCCGCCGCCCAGAGGGAGGCGGGUGCGUUGGAUAUCGGAUAUCGUUGUCUUCACCGCCCGCCACGCCACGCCGGCCGGCUUUUCCUCUGCUGGUGGUGGUUGUUGACCCGCACCUCCGUCCGGACGAAAGCCACCUCACCUCGCCUCGCCCCUCGGCCUCUCGUCGGGAGGUGAAAGCCACGGCGACAGCGGCAGCGCCAGCUCCCAAGAGCGCGCGCGCGCGGCCCCCAAGAUAGAUUAAGCCGGGACGAGACGGCCGCCCCAAAUUAAGCCGCCGCCGCCUCGUCCUCCUCCUCCCCCUCUACCACCGCCGCCGCGGCACGCGGUGCGCCUCCAGCAAGUCCCUGAGCGAGUUCCACGACCUCCGCCUGUAGGUCGUGCGGUUGUGGGACCGCAGCCUCACGAGCGCCCUGAUGCUGCCCCGCACGCACGUCUACGCGUACAGGAUGUCGGGGCGGCGCGCGGAGAAGGAGAAGGAGGAGGUCACCUGGCUGACGUCGGAGCGGCCGCGCGAGCCGGAGGAGUCCUAGGAGUAGAUGUUCCAGAUACACCUGCCGUGUUGGUGGUACAGGUGGGUGCUUUCCUUCCGGUCGUAGUCCCUCAAGAUGCGACACUAUAAGGGGAGGGAGUACGUUGACCUCGUGCCCUAGUCGCUGAGGCUGCUGGCCUCCGUCUCCCGCCGCACGAGCCUCUCCAUGUCCUCCUCUCUGCUCGGCCUCCUGUCGUUCUCCGGGCAGAGGCUCUAGCUGCGGCUCUAUCUCCUCCUCACGCCCUAGACGUACCUCGAGUUGUCGUCCCAGCACGACGGGUUGACGUCGGUGCUGUACACGUAGUUCACGAUGGUAGUUACCGCGUGCUCUAGAGUCAGUACGGGGAAGACGGCCCUGUCGGAGUUUUCUCACUUGAGGCCGCUGGAUACCUACGAGUGGCUGGUCGCGCUGCAGCAGCUGUACCGCUGCCACUGCUCCCUCUUGUAGUCCGCGGACAAGCGUAUGUAGCUCUUCGACGGGGAGCAGUGCGACCUGUUGUAGAAGCUACGGAUACUAAGGGUACAUUUUAUUGAAACUCGGCAACUGCUACUGAACGAGCGCUGACAAGAAAAAAAGACCCUCGCAACUGCGUACCGAACAACAACAACAACAACAACAACCAAGUACGUCUCCUACAAGGAGCAGGAUCCUACACCGACUGGUACCUACGUCGUCGGACUGUCUCUCCGGGUUGGACACACUCGUGGGAUGGAUCCCAGGAGUCCAAAACAUUUAUGUACAUGUCUAAAUGUCAAACGUACCUUUACAAGUCUCUUUCAGUCUUAUUGUUAUACAAUACGAAGAGCGUUUUUUUUUACAAUAAUACGUCGUCUCAUUACAAACAUGUCUAUACAUUAGGCCUACCCUUGUAAAUCACGUACAUCUUCAUAAAUGAGGGAGAAAGGCUUUUAUGAACAGCCUCUUUAUACAAUACGUCGUCUCAUUACGGACAUGUAUAAACAUUAGACCUACCCUUGUCUGUAUACCACGUACAUGAUUGAGGCAAGGCUUAAUAUUCUACAAAACCUAUAAAGUUAUACCUGAUGUAUGCCUGACUUUGCUCACUUAUCUAUGCGAUUUUGCACAGAUAUAUGUAGGC